ensembl:lncRNA
GUUCAAUUUGAAAGAAUAGCUUACAUUUUUCUUUCCUAGUCUGAUAGCUGAUCAAACACUUGCUUGGGGUUGUUGCUCCCAGCAGUGGCAAAUUUACACAGAUCUGGAAGGAAGAAGUGUGUGGUGCUCAUAAGGACAAGAUGGACACAGCCUCGGGGAUUUGCCUGAAGAUCACAGAAGACCUAAGGCAGAUCUUGGAAAGAAGACAUCCCAGAGGGAUAUUUCCUGUAGUAACCACCCGCUCACCCAUCCUUUCUGCCAGCUGCAUGACUGUACAGCAAAGAAAACAGGAACAACGUGGAGGAGGAAGAUGGGAGCAGGCAGGAAAAACUUUUUCCUGCUUCAGCUCAUCUUUAUUUUUUAUUGAUAACUAACUGUUCUGGAAAAAUAAUUUUGGAGCAUGCAAAGCUACACAAACCACAGAGGUAACAUGUCCCCAUUCAGGACUGAUGCACUGAUGACAGUUCUUUGGCAAAACAGAGGACCCCAC